rnacentral:rRNA from 1 species
GAUGAACGCUAGCGGCAGGCUUAAUACAUGCAAGUCGAGGGGCAGCAGGGGCGUAGCAAUACGCUCGCUGGCGACCGGCAAACGGGUGCGGAACACGUACACAACCUACCUUUAAGUGGGGAAUAGCCCAGGGAAACUUGGAUUAAUACCCCGUAAUAUAUAGAAGUGGCAUCGCUUUUAUAUUAUAGCUACGGCGCUUAAUGAUGGGUGUGCGGCUGAUUAGGUAGUUGGCGGGGUAACGGCCCACCAAGCCUACGAUCAGUAACUGGUGUGAGAGCACGACCAGUCACACGGGCACUGAGACACGGGCCCGACUCCUACGGGAGGCAGCAGUAAGGAAUAUUGGGCAAUGGACGCAAGUCUGACCCAGCCAUGCCGCGUGGAGGAUGAAGGUCCUCUGGAUUGUAAACUUCUUUUAUCUGGGAAGAAACCCAUAUUUUCUAGUAUGGUUGACGGUACCAGACGAAUAAGCACCGGCUAACUCCGUGC